rnacentral:rRNA from 1 species
GCGCGAAAACUCUACAAUGCAGGCAACUGCGAUAGGGGGACAUCGAGUGGCAUCCACCUUGGGUGCCUGUCCAACCGUCUAAAAAACGGUUGUUAGCAAGGGCCGGGUAAGACCGGUGCCAGCCGCCGCGGUAAUACCGGCGGCUCGAGUGGUGGCCGAUAUUAUUGAGUCUAAAGGGUCCGUAGCCGGCUUUGCAAGUCCCCUGGGAAAUCCAGCGGCUUAACCGUUGGGCUUUCAUGGGAUACUACAUUGCUUGGGACUGGGAGAGGUAGGAGGUACUCGGGGGGUAGGG